AUGGACAAGCCAAACAGUCAAGAAUGUGCUGUAAGAAACAAAAACGAUGCUUCCAGUUCCAAGAGGAUUGUGGGAUCGAAGGUGGCCAUGGAGCUUCACCUUCUAUCCACUGACAUCUUGCGCUACAUCUUCUCACGGCUAUCGCUCAAACAGGCCGUGAGGAUGAGUGUACUAUCUCGUGAGUGGAGGCGGCUAGGGAUAUGCCACCCGGACCUGGUGUUCACCGAAAACACCUUAUUUGGCAGCGAUACAACCACAAGUACUGACCAGGAAUCCAUGACAGCUGAAUUCAUCACUAGAGUGGACAAUGUGUUGCACCCGCUGUGGUCUACUUCCACCAUGACAACUACUACGGUCGAUAGGUUUGUUAUCAAAUUUGGUCUCGGCAGACAUCAAAUGCAUCACAUUGAUAGAUGGAUUAACUUCUGCACCGCGUCGAUGGCCAAGCACAUUGGCCUUGAUCUCAGGGGACGGAACGGCUUUGAACAUCCCGAGUACAUUGUCCCGCUGUGCAAACUCAGUGGCCAAAAUGGCUCUUGUGUCAAGUCUCUUCAUAUGGCUGAUGUCUGUUUAAAGCCGCCCCCUAGAUUCUGUGGUAUAACAAACCUGAAGAAACUGAGCCUACAUAGGGUGUCCAUGGAUGCAGGCGACCUCCAAUGUUUGUUGCUAAGUUGUGCUCGUCUCGAGAGUUUAAGCUUGGAUUUCUGCCCCUUGUUAAGUUUUACUAUGCAUCAGCAGCUUUGCCGGUUGAAGUACCUGAGUGUGCGCGAGUGUGCGGUGGGAAUGAUACAGUUGCAGGCUCCAAACCUGACCACAUUUGAGUUCGAUGACUGUCUAACACAAAUUGUUCUCAAUGAAUCUUCAAAGUUGUCAGAAGCAACCUUUGUGUUCAAGAGCAGUUCAUACAACUGGUGUGUGGAUGCCUUCGACUAUAUCUUGACUGAGCUCCCAACUUCUAUUCCUUAUGUGCAUAAACUUCUGCUACAUUUGGUUAUUGGAUAUCAGGUGCAAAAUUUCAGUAAAAGCAACACCACUUUCAUCAAUCUGUGGCAUCUAAACCUGAAUAUCGAUAUCACAUACAAUCAACUCGAUGCUGACUGGGUUACGGGUUUGGUUUAUCUCUUGGAGUUAGCACCUCUCUUAGAAGAACUGGAACUGCAUAUUGAGUGUGAUAGAUCUAGUGAUGCUGUUCCUGCAAGGAUAGUGAAGGCAGCUCCAGGGCCUCUGCAUCGUCACCUCAGGAGUGCCCACAUUACUGGAUUUUGUGAUCUAAUGGGGAUAGCCGAGCUGGCGCUCUACAUCCUUGGGAAUGCUACUGUGCUCGAGCGUAUGGUAGUUGAUCCAGUGGUACGGAUGGACUAUGGGUACCCAUAUACAGGUCAAUUUUAUUCGGUCAGCAAGGCCCGUAGCAGCCUGGAGGCCGCUAGACCUAGUUUUACUGAGCAGGAGCUACACGACAGGGAGUUUGCGAGGAAACACCUUGACAGAGAGGAGUUUCGUCACAUCCUCACCAUUUUAUGA
rnacentral:rRNA from 1 species